GUGGACAAGAGGUUUUGCAACCGAGGACGAUUACUUUCUUAUCAACAUCAUGGAGUACGAAAUUGGAGACUAGGUCGAAGAAGAGUACUAGUUCACCACGAUGGGAAGAUCUACACACAGCCUAUCCUAGCAUGAAAGAAUAAGGCUACAUGCGGCUGCUCACAGGAUAUGAAGUCGCGCGUUACAUUGGUGAGAAGUUGGUAUGCCAAGCGUUUCUAAAUGACCUAACCAAAGACGAAGGCGACAUUUGCGAAGAGGUGAGUGAUCGAAAAGUUGCAAAGGGCUAGAGAGACAACUUGACCCUCACCAGCAAAUACCUGAAGCGGGUCUUUCCAAAACGAGAGGUUCACGAAGCAUUGAACAAAGUCUAAGGACAUCUUCUAUGCGGCUAUGCGACAACAUAUGGUGGAGCGGAACAUAGAUGCAGGUCAUCGGUCACCAUAUGCGGUCACCAUAACGACGAACAAUUGUAUAUUAUAUACAAAGUAAUACAGGUAGUAAAAUAGAUAAAGGAUAAAAAUAAAGUACAACUCCCCGUUCGUCGCCUCACCGUAAUGUAAGAUUCGCUGUAUGCCAUUGCGUAUGCUCCAUUAUCGUUUCAGCGAAAUGCAACACUUCCAUAGGCUAAACUAUAUCAGCACACCAUCGCACAACGAGCGAGCCUGGUUUAUUUAGAUGUAUUAAUCGCGUUUAUGUAUUAUGUAUGUAUAUUAUGUAUAAGCAGGGCUUAUUACAGUAGGCCUACAGGGAGCCAGCCAUUUAAAACAAUUGGCAACGCGCCUAACACGGCACCUCAAGGUGGCGUGUAAACCGUGAGAAGAAUUUUGUUGUACAUGGAACUAUUAUUUAAACAAUUCUUCUUCUAUUAAUCUUUGUACCUCCGUUAUGAAUUGCUAUUAUUCGAGACGAAAAAACUUUUGGUUAAUACCUUAUUAAGCUAACCAACGAAGAAUCCUAAGAUCUCUUAUGAAUAUGUUGAAUCUGCAGUUUCCUUAGACAGCGUAAGUGCAAGUUUUUUCUAGUUAUUACCUUAUUACAGCUAAUGUUUCUUUCUGUGAUGCGGAAUCGCGGGCCAAGAGUAACCGCUCUACCUUAGAAGAGCUAGGCCGCAUCGCGUAGAAACGUUACAAGUUCUUAACCAUUUAUUUUAUCCUCUUAGAAUGCAAGUUUUAAACAAUUUUUAAUAUAAUUUUUCUUUCAUUUAUCUAGUUGCGCCUUUUCUUUCCUUUUCUUUUCCUGGUUUGUAAAUUAAUUAUUCUCGACAUUUAGCGUGAGUGUAUUAAGUGUUCAAAUUUUAUUUGUUAUUAUAAUUAUUUUAAUUACUUGCACACUUAUAUUGGCAUAACACGUAAGAUGUGCGUUAGCAUCUCGUCACUAAUGUGCACAAUUUAAAAUUUAAAUUUUUCUAAUCUUACUUGUAUACAAACACGACAAGGCACCAUGAUGUCUUCACAUUGACCUUCAAAAACCACUCAUCGAGUGAUUCGAUCUGUUUCUUUCUUGUCAGUCUUUUUCUCAAUCAUCGGUAGUAACCGAAGAAGAAAGAGCAUUCCAUUUUCAAGUAUAAAGCCGACCAUUAAUCUAUAUAGACGGACUUGGGACUUUGUUCUCUUUUCAUAACUUCUCCCUUCGAAUUGUGGCAUUAUAUGACCGGAGAAUCAUGAAAAGAGACACUGAUUAACGGUAUUCCGUUAUUACAAUGCGCACUAUUCUCUUGUAAGGAGCAGAGGACAAGAAGACCGACCGAAACCCCUACAUCCACUUAGGCGGCUGUUACAAAUUGUUGUGCCUUUCGUUUCUUAUUUACUUUUGUCCUCUCUUCAAAAAAAAGAAGGCAGAACAUUUUUGAAAUUGUAAGCAAAAUAG